AAUGAAAACCUCUCCUCUUUCUUAAAAAGGCUAAAACCCUAUUUUCUAAUUCUUUUCAUAUACGCACCAAUCAAAUCAAAUCAAAUCAAAUCAAAUCGAAUCAGCGAGAUGGUGGUGACGACGACGACGACGGAUACCGCGGAGUCGUUGCACUCCACCUUCGCCUCCCGUUACGUGCGCGCACUGCUUCCCAGGUUCGAUUUUUUUUUUUUGUCUGCAAAAAUUUAAGUACCGUGACACAAAAUCAUAUAUAAUAAUAUUAUAUAUUAUUAUUGCUAUGAUAAUUCUAAAGUAAUAAUAAUUAGGUAUAAGAUUCCGGAGAGGGUGAUACCGAAGGAUGCGGCGUACCAGAUAAUCAACGACGAGCUGAUGCUGGACGGGAACCCGCGGCUGAACCUGGCGUCGUUCGUGACGACGUGGAUGGAGCCCGAGUGCGACCGCCUCGUCAUGGCCGCCCUCAACAAGAACUACGUCGACAUGGACGAGUACCCCGUCACUACCGAGCUCCAGGUUCAAAACGAAUAUGAAUAUUACGUAUAGAAACAAACAGACACUCUCAAUAAUAUAGUAAAGGAUUAAUUUUAUACAGAUCCUUGCAAACAUAAUAAAUGACAAGUAAAUUUCUAUAAAGUUUAAUUUUUAUAUAUUGUUCNCUCCUUCGAUAUCGAGCUCGUUCCCAGCUCGUACCUGUACUACUCUUCCAAAAUUAUCUCUCUUUUCUUACAACAAUAAUCUCCUAACGUAGGCGCAGAACUAUUUUAAUCUUAAACUCGCUCAACUCUUUUAACCUGUUAAGUCUAAUCAUCAUUCAAAAUAUUAUAGUUUGAUUCAGAGGUUUAAUUCUACCAUACAUUACCGAUCGUCCCUAGAGUAAGUGGCAAAGGGCUCGGUGGUUGGUACCCGAGACCUAAGUUUGAAUCAUAAUUGAUUCACAUUUCUAGCCAAGUUUAUUUCUAAAUGAAAUAAACGAAACAGGUAGCGUGCUACUUAUCUCUCAAAAAAAAAAAAAAAAAUCUACCAUACAUUAUAUAUAUAACUAUUUCAAAUCCUAAGAAUGUAUUAGAAUCAAAAUAACAACAUCAUAGCAACAUCAUAGCACGUAAGUGAUACAGACAAAAUUGUAAGAACAAAUGUAAUAGAAGGCCCUCAUAACUUCAAAAGUUUACGAAAAAAAAGCAAUUAUAAAANUCUCUGCGGACUACAACAAAAACUCGAUUUUUUCCCCAAAAAAAUUUUACGAACAACCAAACAUGGAGAAAAAAAUUUUCAACUGAAAUUUUUUUUUAGAGGGGUUUAACAUAGAUCCAAACACUCGUGAGUUCGGCGGCAAGAACCGCGAAGGAGGAGGACGACGAAGACGACAUGGACGAGUUGGCGACGAGAGCGGCGACGACGCUACUCGUGAGUCCGCCACCGCCUUUUUUUGGGUGAAUCGUUCGGGAAUCGCGAAUAAUUCGCGAAUAAUUAUUUUUGAUAAAAAAAUGCAUCUUUUUUUGAAUUUUUCGAAAAAAUACGGAUACGGGCGUUUAAUUCGGUUAUUCAAAAAUUUGCAAACAAUUUGCAAAUUAUAUGCGAAUUAACUAACAAUGGGUGUCAGCCGUAGACCCCACCAUUAGAAAUAGUUCUUUUUUUUUUUUGCAAAGAUAGGUAGCAUGCUGGAAAUGUGAAUCAACUAGAAUUCAAAUUUAGAAGAUCGCGAAUACCAACCACCAAGUCUUACGAAAAUAUGUGUUUAGUGGCAGUGGGUGACUCGUAGCGCGAGUUGGUUUGUUCCGGGAUAGUUCGUGGGUCCCGGCGGAGUCCCGAUGCGGUUUUCGGGACUUCCGGCGUGUUCGGCAAUCGGUUUUGGGAAACCGAUUUCCUUAGAUUCGUUGGUGGGGAUUGUAAGUUAGCAUUUUGUGUUCAUGGGUUGGAUUCUAACUCGGUGGGCCCUUCGUAGGUCCGGUUGUUUCGUCUCCGCGGUCAAGGGUCCAGUGCCAGAUACGUAUAGGUAGGUACUUCGAUCCGAAGUCGGUACAGUGGUGCACGCUGGGUGAUAUCUUCUUAGCCUUACUUUCUCGUUAUUACUCCACAUGCAUAUAUUAUAUGUUGAGCCUAGCACCUAUACCAUAUUUCCUUAUUGCUCUACUUAGUUGUUUUACAUAUCCUGUUUCAUGUUUAGAGUAGAACAUUUGCGUGAUUAUUUGUGAUAUCUGUGACCUGGUUGGUCGGUUCCAGUAUCCCGUAUCUGUGACCCAUUGGUUCGGUUUAUUGCAAUGCUAUCGUGACCUAUUUGGUCGGUUGGACUAUUUGAUGACCUAUACGGUCGGUACGCCUUGAGGGGCAGGAUUGUCGGUAGUUGCCGACGGUUGGUUAUUGAGCAUAUCAGUAUUGAUCGCUCGAGACUCGUACGCAUUUCACGAACACCAGCUGUUUGAUCCACCGCAAGAGGGUGUUCUUUUUCGGAAAAGUGGUUCGAUGUGCCAACCCGUGAGCCCAGCUGUCAUGCCGUGGACUUCAGCGGAAGCUUACCAGUUACGUGCACAGACCCACCGUGUACACCACAACCUAAAGUGUACACUAGGCGUCUACAGUCAGCAUAGAAAAAGCAUAAUAUCUUAACCAGGUAAUCAAAGAAAAACUUAAAAGUUCAAAAACUUAUACUACACAUAACCUUAUUACAACUGAAUAGAACAAGUACAAUCUACAUAACCCAAUAUACAUCACUAAACUAAACUGCAUAAACUUGUAGAGGUUUGUCUAUUUAAAAUCGAGAAGGCUCUAGCUAGCCGCUGACCCCUCGCCGGGAACCCUAGCCUUUCCCACUGCGGAAGACUUUGCAUAAAAAUAAUCAACAAAAGGGCGUGAGAACUAUUAAACAAUAGUUCCUAGUAGGUAAGCUGCCGAGAGUGGUGAAGUAUACCACUAGGUCAACUGAGGCAUGUAUAAACAACAAUAAGUAAGUACAGUAAAUGCAACAAGUAAAUGAAGUAAAACAACUAUAGUAUGCCUCGCAAGAUAUGUUUUCUAACUUGUCUUAUGUACUAGUUUAUUAUAACAAGUUCUAUAAUACAUGCUAAUUAACAAUUUAAUUAGCUAUAUGUCAGGCUGUAUGCAAAAUAUCAUCAUUAUAAUUUAGCUAGCUAAUAUCAUAUAGCUAUUUCCCUAUCCUAUCAAGAGUGUAAACAUUCAGGAACUGUCACUAAACUAUUGACCAACAGGGAUGUCAAUCUUCUAGUAUGCUCAUUACUAGGUAUACUCAACUGAUGAUAUAAAAUAUCUUUACUACUAUGUCCAUCUAAGGUUAAAGUUCUUAACAUUAACCCAAUUAACAAGAGACUUACAAAUGGUAAAGUCCCAGCUCGUGUCGUGCCUAAUGGCCCGUGGAAGUCAACACUACCCACAACAAUCUACUUCGGAGCUCAGUCUCAGACGGAAGCAAGCAAUCUUUCGCUAGGCUAACUCCGGAGUACCGGCUUGUGGGGUGCGACCCUCACAAGCAUGUGUGAAUGAGCACAUCGGCAAGCAAGCAUAAUCCAUAGCAUAGAUAUCAUAAGUUCAUCAUAUCUCUAACAUGGAAUCUUAACUCGACACCAGGUCGACAAAUAAUACUAAGUCAUAGUCCACUAUCAACUACUUGGUGAUAUGUUUCUAGUAAUAGAUAGUAUGACUCAAAUAAGUACAUACUUUACAUCAUAUUGAUGAUUCUAACGGGCUAUACCCUCAUAUUCACAUAUAGUUCUCUCACUACUCUCUAUACAUAAGAAAAGUGGUUUACUGAGGUCAUAUUCAAUGGCUCCUUCUAGUAUUCAUAUGACUCAUGGCACAUAUUCUAUAGUUUUACAAAAACCUCCACUAUCUGGAGUAAACAAGUAUCAUGCAAGUAAUUUUUCUUGACUAUACAAGUAUGACAUCAUAUCCAAUUCUAGUUAUUUAACUAGAUUGUAUUCAAUAGUAUAACAUUCAUGUUAUAACAUAAUGCCCAGUUCUAGUUACUUAACUAGAUCAUAUAUAAGAACAUGAAGUUCAUGCUUUUUCUACCAUGUAAAAACGAUACUCAGCUUGUUAACGCAAUUAGGCGACGCAUCACAUAAGGUACUCUAUAUACAUGGUUUCUACACAAUUCAUUUCAUAAUCUAGAAUUAUAGCCUUGUUAAACAGAAUAUGCACAAAAGUCCUGUCAUCUUGUCUACAACAUGGGAUUGCAUAGUUUAGCUCGAUGGUUGAGAAUAAUAUUAUCCUAUUGACUUAGUUGUUCAUCUAAACUAAAUGUCAUCAUCAUAACCUUACCUCCAUUUAUCAUUGCAUGAUGUGAUAUUUCACUUGUCUAUACAAGUAUGCUACUAUCAUAUAAUGCAUGCUAAGCAAACAGGCGAUCUAUACAUAAUAAGCAAAUUCCAUAAUUUCAUCUCUACCAUAUAGAGGUUUCCUUUAAUCCAACAUACUAUGCUUGUUAUACAUGCAACAAGACAUCCAAACAUAGAUUCACAGGAAUAUGCAAGAAUUUUCAAUUCCAUAAUGUCAAAGAAGACAUGGAGGGAAUUCACCCAUUUCGGUAAGGUCAAACCCACCAAGUACUCGACGACUCUCGUCGACCCCAUGAGCGAGGACAAUGCGCAGCCUCCAAGCACCCUGACAAUCAAUCCAAAAUCAGCUAAGGGCUGAAUUUGUAUUUCUACAUCAAGGUUCACAUAAACAUCCAUAUAAUUAUCUUACCUAGGUAAUUCUUACCUAGUAUAGUGUUACGGUUGGAAUCUCAACCUUGAUUAAGGUUGGAACACCAAAUUCAACCUUAGAAAGCUCCCAAAUCUCAGCUAAACAAGAUCAACUGGUCCGCUGUGAACAUGCUGUCUAGUAUAAAAACUGCUUUAAAUUUAGAAUCAUCUCAUUCAACUAAGGAACUACUAGGUAAUAUACCCUUUCACAGCGUCAACUUAGCUUUUCCCCUAGUUUCGAAUUGAAGAACCACAACAAAACCUCUUCUACAACUGCUGGUACCUUCUCCCAAACUAACUGUAACAAAAGGGACCAAAAACAACUCAAAUCCACUACUGGUAUCAACUAGAGAGAAGAAUAGUAUCACUCACGUUACCAAGACUUCAAUUCAGCUACCUGCUGCUAGGGUUGGGGAAAACUUAGUAAAAUACCAUCUCCCACGUUCCAAGAGCUAACCCUCAAGUCUCUAACCCAGCCAACACAAGAGAGGGGAAGAAAAAUGAGCUCAAAUCACCAAAUCUCACUUUAAACACCUCACCCUAGAGAGAGUAAGAGAGGUAUUCAAAUCUGUUUCUCUCAGCUCAAGCAACUUUAGAAUAGCUGCAGGGGUUGUGCAGGGGGAUUAGAGAUAAGCUUGGGAAGUAAAAUGACCAAAACAGCCCUAAUGUCACGCAGUUGCUGUGCUGGGUACUGGUACCCAUGCGUUCUGGUACCGGUACUCAAUACAGAAUGUUGAAUUUCGCCGUUUCGAUGCACUUUUGCUCUUCCGGCUACUUCGUCACUUCAGUAACUUGCCGAAAACCUCCCAAUAACCCUUCAAAAGAUGUGGAAUAGUUUCAAUUACUAUUCUAACACUCGAACUUUGCAAUUUGCUAAAGUUCAGUGUACUACACUAGCGGCCUAGGCUAGGUCAAAUGCAGGUAGAGUGGCAGUGGGUACAGGCUUGAGGUUUGCGGUGUGGACCAACAGAGCAUUGGUUUCAGAUUGGGUAUUUUUGGACUUGUCGUCCGUCCGGUUGAUGCACACAUACAAUAACAGUAUUGCUAUUGUAUUUCACUUACCCAUAUUUUUGUUUAUCCUCCUUGACUGGUGAGCACCCCUCGCCCUCGUCGGCUUGCGGUACCUACUGAGAGGGGAGACAUGUUUAUAUGUUCUCACCCCCGACCCCCAUUAUAGGUGACGUUGCAGGUCCUAGUGGGACGGUUCGUGAGGAGCGAGUCUAGCGACCGAUAGUAUCACCGUCCCGUUGUUGGUUAAUUAUCAAAUUUAGCUCUUUAAAUAAAUGACUUAAACAGUUAAUUGGUUCAGUUACUUAUCACCUUUGAAUUCAUAUGGUUUUAUGAAUGUAAUAAUGAAUUUGGGAUUUAUGUGAAAUGGAAAUAGUUUUCUACCCCUCAUGGUAGCGAAUUUUUAAAGAAAAAAGGGUUUCCGUGUGGGAAACUAUUUUUAAAAGAUUUUUUUGGUUUUCACGGUUUAGUAUUUUAAAAUGAGUUUCCGGGUAGAAAAUAUUUUAAAUUGAUAAAAUAUGAAUUGAUGAAUAUUUGUGAUGAAAUAAAUAUGGUUAUGAACGGUNGGAAAUAGUUUUCUACCCCUCAUGGUAGCGAAUUUUUAAAGAAAAAAGGGUUUCCGUGUGGGAAACUAUUUUUAAAAGAUUUUUUUGGUUUUCACGGUUUAGUAUUUUAAAAUGAGUUUCCGGGUAGAAAAUAUUUUAAAUUGAUAAAAUAUGAAUUGAUGAAUAUUUGUGAUGAAAUAAAUAUGGUUAUGAACGGUGUAUGAUUAUCUGUGGAUGUUCAUAUGUGUGGUUGUAUUUGGUAUAGUAAAAUGUAUCAUGUACUUUUACGAUGCUGUGCAAAUACAGGGGAGAUUCUGUCCAAGUGAACAGUGGACUUCCUGUAUUUGUGGCGGAUAUGGCAUACCCUAGGGGUCAAUAUUUUUUUUAAAAAAAAAUUGGGCACUUCUGCAUGGAAUUUUAAAUCCAAAGGGACCCCGGGAUGUGACAUCAUCUCAGGUUCCUCUUUCUCUUUGGUUUAAUUGUGGGCUUGGUGGAGGCCGUAGCUCGAGCUCGAGAAAUUUUCGACGUCGAUUUGGAAGGUCGUUCCAGUGUGCGUGCAUCGCGGUUGCGUCGUUGGAGGCCGAGCGAGCGCGUGUUUUCCUCUCCUUUCGACUUCUCGCCGUUGUUGGACGAGCGUUUUGAGGUGGUUUGAAGUUUACCGAAAUCGUCGCAAUACCUUCUAAGUUUUAGCAUCAUCGACAUGUAUCGUUUGUGUAUUUCCUUGCUAGUACUCGAAUUCAUGGAUUAAGUGUUUAAAUCUGAAUUUGGAGUUAAGCUAGUUAUAUCAUUUUACAUGUUGGACUUGGAAUUGACUGAGGAGAAAACUAUAGAUCCUACACUGUCAUUUUCUAAAAAUUUUCAGAUUUAGCUUUAGGAGCUAUGGUUUGUUUCUAUCAUUGCUGUUUGUAUGCAAUAGUUACCCAGAUUAGUAUAGGGUGAGUUUAUGCUCGUGCUGGAAUGCCGAGCUUGUUUUACAGUAGUGUGUAGACUAUUUCGUAAUAUCCGGUGCUGUUGGGAUUGACAUUGGACCCAGAUUUCUGUAGCACCGCUGUUAGUGCGAGGUGGAUGCUCGGAUGAGUAUAGGUUGAGUUUACGCUCGUGCUCAGGAGCCGAGUUUAUUUUACAGUAGUGCGUAGACUGUUCCAGACUGUCGGAUGCUAUCACGGUUGACAGUGGACCCAGAUUUCUAUAUUUGUAUCAUAUUGUGCCGAGGGCACGUGAGUUUUGGUUAUUACAUCAGUUAAACCCAUUUUCUUUGAUUAUAGCCUGUGAGAGCCUGAUUGAGCUCGACAGAGACACGCUUACAUAUUCAGUUGGGUAGCGCCCACGAGUGCCACUUCGGAGUUGUGCUUUGUGCAUUUGCGUAGAUGUCGUAGUGUCCAAUGUGGACUUGCUCUUCACCAAUUACCCAGCAUGUUGGUCGUUGGUGUAGCUUCGACAGGCAGGACGGGUGCGUUCACAGUACCUAGUGAGAGUUGGUUAGAGGUUGCAUCAUUCUUAUAUCUACAAAAUAGUGUUUAGUGAUAGUAUAGUGGCAUGUAGCUUUAGAGUUUUUUCAGCUUCCUUUACUAUCCUUGUGCAUAUUUUUCUGUAGAAUUAGUGGGUGGGUUGUUGAGGUUGGUAGCGGUACCCACUGAGCACUACUUCUUCUUGCAGUAGUUCUCACACCCAGUUGUUGACCCUUUUUUGCAGAGCCUUCGUCCGUGGCUGCUGCUGUUGUUGUUUUGAAUCGUGGAAAGGGAGUUGUGAGCUAGAUUCCUUCCAGUCUUGCCGCAGUGCUAAGGAGUACCUCCUACAGAUAGUUUUGGAUUUUUUUUGUACAUAUAGUCUUAUUGUCUGGAUACUUGCUGGAGUGAGUGGUGUAGUAGACAUUUUGUAUGUACUGGAACCCUUGAGGUUAUAUAUUACUUUUCUAUUUAGCAGCUCUUUACCUUGUGGUUGUAGCUUCGAUUUGUUUACUAGUACAGCUAUCGCUUCGUAUACAGAAAAAAUUCCUAUUUAUACAGUGGGUCUGUUGCUGUGCCCAGAAAAAUAUGUAAUCCGGGGCGUGACAUUACAAAUUAUAAAUUUUAAAAAUUUAAAUUUUUAAAAUUUAACUAUUUAAUUAGAUAAAUAAUAAUAAAUUAUAAAUAGAUUAUUAUUUAAAUAUUUAUUAAUUUAAUAACUUAAAUAAGUAAUUAGUCAAUUAUUAAAAAAUUUAAUUAUAUUAAUUAAUUAUAAUUUAUAAUUAUUUAUAACUUAAUUAUUAGAGGAAUAAACUAGAGAAUAGUUUGUUACACCUAAUAGAUAGAAUUACUAUUCUCCUCUCUUAACGGGUUAUUCCGGAAUAGCCCGUUAACGCGGGAAUAAAUUAACAUGCUAAGUUUGCUUGGUGUUUGGCAAGAAUAGUAGGAUAAAAGGGGUUAUUCCCCUUUUAUCAUAUGUAACAUAUCGAAAUCCGGAAGAAAUUAUCGAACCUUAGCCAAAUUGGUUAAAGUUGUCGAAAGAAAAAGUUGGACAAGUUCCAAUUAGCAUUCCAACAAUAUUGGAAGGGCUAAAAUUGAGUUUAAGAGGUAUUAGAAAGGUUUUAGCAUUGAACGGCGCGAAACAGAAUCGAAAACGGUGCGAAAUUGUAUUCUGGAGCAAAGUGUACCGGUACAACUAGCGAGUUGUCAUCGGUACAGCAUUGCAGGCCGAGAAGGAAAAGCUCCCGGGUUUGAGAUAUUUUGCCUGUGUUACCGUUGACACCCCUGGUGUGUACCGGUACGCUUUGGUAAAACCUGUAAGAAUUGCUCUCGGGUUUCCCUCUGCGUAAUCGUGUUACCGGUGACACCUUAAAGUGUACUGGUACACUUUGGGUCUGACAGCAAAAUGAAAACGUACUGCUGCAAAUACAAGUGUUUGGAGAGCUUUUUGGCUAUUGUUACAACAUGUAAUAUACCCCCAACACCCCUCCUACCUGUUCUAAACAGCAACCACUCUCUCCCUCUCUCAUUUCCCUCUUUCUCUCUCUAGAAAACUCUCCAAUGAGUAAGGAGAGGAAGGAGAAGAAGGAUUUUUGAAAAAGUUUUGGUGGAUUUGAAGGCUUUAGAAGCUCUUCUACAAGGAGGACUUGGGGAUAGCUUGUGGCUAAGGUGAGUUUAUGCAUGAACUCCUUUAGGGUUAGGAUUCUUACCUUAAGUUUUGGAGUUUUGAUCCUCUAAUAACCCUAUAAACGUCGAACGAACCUUGAAAUCCAUGAAAAUCAUGAUUUUCUCAAGGUCCUUCCAUGGUGAACAUCUAGGGUUUAAAGUAGAUGCCCUAGGAUUGGUUCGAGUGGCUUGGAAAUGGUAUUAGAAAGCUUCAUGGGUGGUUCUAAGCUUAAUUUUGCUUAGUUAUAAGAUCAAUCCUAAGAAAUUUUGCAAAUGGCAACAUUAGGGCACCCAAUUUGGAGCUUUUGCCUCCGAAUGUUUUUAAGGCAAAUUGACCUUGUAAAAACCUAAUUAGGGGUAUUCCCGACGCAUGGGACAACUCCGUUUGACGUUACGAAAAGAUUUAGAUGGAGUUAUUGAGAAAAAGCCUAAUUUGGCUUCGUUUUGCCACAGGCGAGAAAGUAAGGCUUCAAAAAUUUCAGGAAAUUCAUUGUAGCAUCCCUACAACCAUCUAAGGUGGGUGGUGCAUUCCAAGGACCUCGAAAUUUCUUUUAUAUCUAAAGUGUCACAUUGAGCAUAUGUAUGUAUUUGAGCAUAUUGCAUAGUAGGGUAAUUGUAAGCUUCCUUUGCAUGUUGUGAGUUCAAAUGCAUGUGAAAUACUUGUAAGAAUGUGAGAAUUCUAUUUACCCUAUGUAUGCAUGAGAAAUGACAAGAACUUAGUAGCUUUAGAGAACAAAAGUGACAUGUUGACAUAAUUAUAGAGAAUGGCAUCAACGAAUCGAGAUAUGCUAGAGUUGACACUUAGAAAACAAGUGUGGCAUCAAUGAAUGAGUACAAGAACUAGUAGUGUAUAUGACACUAGUAAAGGUUAAAGAAUGCAAGUAAAUAGAGGUAGCGACAUUAUGACAUAACAACCUUAGAGUUAAGGGUCAAAUGUGCAUUGUUUCCUUAUAGUUAAGGAAUGGAUUUGACUUGACAUCCUUAUAGAUAAGGAUAGGAUCAUACUCACCUGUAAGUCCUUGCUCGAGGGUGGUAGCUUCCCCUCGGGCGAUGUGCUCCAGAGUUGUCAUUACCGGGUCGUAGCGAGUAUCUCCCCAGAGGACGGUCCCAUCGAGUUGUAGUGGGUAUCUCCCCGAUAUUAGGAAUUUGGUUGGUGAGUCAUUGAGGGCGAAACCUAAGGGUUAGCCAAGAAAUUGGGUAAUGAGAUUGUGACCUUGCAUUCAACAUGAGCAUACAAUUGAGCAUCGCAUUUAUUAUUGUUCAGGCAUAUUAGCUGCAUUUGUAUAGUUUGGUUACUAUCUAUAUCUCUUUUCUUCUAUUAUGCCUGAUUUAGACCUAGUGGGAAAGUCGGCGUGGUUGGUUGCCGAACCCACUGGAAACUUCGUUGUAGUUCUCACACCCCAUUUUCCACAGAGCCCGGACCGAGUGAGCCGACGGAUGAUCGCCGUAAGGGCAUCGCGCCCUAGAUAGAGACCACCCGAGACGGUUUCUCAUUUUGGUUUAGUUGCAUACCCUUUAGUUGCCAUNUUAGACCUAGUGGGAAAGUCGGCGUGGUUGGUUGCCGAACCCACUGGAAACUUCGUUGUAGUUCUCACACCCCAUUUUCCACAGAGCCCGGACCGAGUGAGCCGACGGAUGAUCGCCGUAAGGGCAUCGCGCCCUAGAUAGAGACCACCCGAGACGGUUUCUCAUUUUGGUUUAGUUGCAUACCCUUUAGUUGCCAUCUUUUGUAUUUUGAUGAUUUUAGGAUUAUGAACUUGUUAAAUGAAUGAUGUAAAAAGGGGAUUAUGUUUCAAUGCAAACUUUAUAUUUUGAGAUAUCAUGUGAUGUAAAAGAGAAGAAAUGAUGCAAAAAUAUAAGCGAUUUUCCUAAGUGUAGUUUACUACUUUUACUAUUGGCUAUUGUUUGCCCUCGUGCAAGCCAUUGUGUAUGCUUCCGCUUAUGCAAAUUUUAUACUCUAUCUAUACCUGUUGUUGAGCCUUGGGCAGAUGGGGGAGGCUCUGUCCGUUCGGCGUCUGUUUGACGCUGUCGAACCGGCCAAAAGGAUCGGGCUCGGGGCGUGACAUCCCACAACCAAACGGGGCCGAUCUCUUGAUCUCCUUCCUCUCUCUGAUCCUCCUCUGACUCUGAUCUUCCUCGUCCUCUACUGCUGGUAGUAAUUACAACAAAUAAUCGAUGAUGUAGAUGAAAUUGAUACGAGAAUUAAUUAUUAAUUAAUGUAUGAUGAUUUGGGAGGAGGGGCGGAUCGUCUCGAUCCACCCAUUAAUGCCGUUGGCGAGAGCAACGGCCGUCGGGCCAUCUGUGGCUCCUCUGCUAUGCUAUUCUUCCGCACUCUCUGCUCCGGACCAAAUAUUUUGCCUUCCCUGCACUCCCCCCCCCCCAAAAAGAGAAUAAAAUAAGUCCAAAAUAUUUGAAUUUGAAUCAUAGAACUUAUGAAAUAUUGGAUGUAGUCCAUAAGAUACACUAAUACGCCCGGUGUAGGCUACUACUUGAUCAUUUGACUGAGAGAGAUAAUUACUUGUUACUUAAAAAAUUUGUGUAGAGACUACCAUUUUUCUAUAUUUAAUACUUGUAUUUGAGAUCUUGAUGUAUCUACUCAUGGUUUUUGUUAGUUAAUUAGAUCUUUUAUAUUCUACUUGUAAUUAGAAUUUAGUUGUUGUAUGCUCUGAUAUCAUACUAGCAGUUUAUCUUUCUUGCUUAAUUAUAUUAUGGUUGUAGACGCCUUGUAUGUUAUUAGCAUAUGGCGGGUCUGAACACGCACCAAGCAGGCUUCCGCUGGGUCCCGGGGAGUGACAAUUACUACCAGUAGUAGAUGACGAGGAGGAUCAGAGUCAGAGGAGGAUUAGAGAGAGGAAGGAGAUCAGAAGAUCAGUAACAAGUAAUUAUUUCUCUCAGUCAGAUGAUCAAGUAGUAGCCUAUACCGGGAGUAUUAGUGUAUCUUAUGGACUAAAUCCAAUAUUUCAUAAGUUCUAUAAAUCAAAUUCAAAUAUUUUGAAUUUAUUUUAUUCUUUUUUUUGGGGGAGGUGGGGGAAGUGCAGGGAAGGCAAAAUAUUUGAUCUAGAGCGGAGAGUGCUGAAGAAUAGCAGAGCAAAGGAGCCAUAGAUGGCCCGACGGCUGUUGCUCUCGCCAACGGCUUUAAUGGGUAGAUCGAGACGAUCCGACCCUCCUCCCAAAUCAUCAUACAUUAAUUAAUAAUUAAUUCCUGUAUCAAUUUCAUCAGCAUCAUUGAUCAUUUGUUGUAAUUACUACCAGUAGUAGAGAACGAGGAGGAUCAGAGAGAGGAAGGAGAUCAGAAGAUAAUGUUAUAAAAUUUUUUAAGUAACUAGUAGUUAUUUCUUUCAGUCAGAUGAUCAAGUAGUAGACUACACCAGGCGUAUUAGUGUAUUUUAUGGACUACAUCCAAUAUUUCAUAAGUUCUAUAAUUCAAAUUCAAAUAUUUUGGAUUUUUUUUGGGGGGGGGGGGCGGUGGGUCAAAGUNGGAAGGAGAUCAGAAGAUAAUGUUAUAAAAUUUUUUAAGUAACUAGUAGUUAUUUCUUUCAGUCAGAUGAUCAAGUAGUAGACUACACCAGGCGUAUUAGUGUAUUUUAUGGACUACAUCCAAUAUUUCAUAAGUUCUAUAAUGAGAAGGCAAAAUAUUUGGUUCGAAGUAGAAAGUGUGGAAGAAUAGCAGAGCAGAGGAGCCACAGAUGGCCCGACGGCCGUUGCUCUCGCGGCCUUAAUGGGUGGAUCGAGACGAUCCGACCCUCCUAGCUCCCAAAUCAUCAUACAUCUAUUAUCUAUCUUCUAUCUUCUAUUAACUAUUACUAGUGAAGGACCCACGCAUUGCGGUGGGACGACUUCGUAGAAAUAAAUAAAUAAAUUUAAAAUAACAAAAUAAAAAGUCAAAGAAUUAUAUAAAAUAAAUAACUGAAAAAUAAGUAACUAAUUAAAGAUUGAGGAAUUCUCUAAAUUAGCACUUGAACCGAACUGAAUCAAUGAUCUGCCUAUAUAAUUUUGUUUUGUGUAUGAAAACCGAACCAAUUAAAUCUGAAAACCGAACCAAUUAAAUCUGAACCGAAGAGCUGUUGUCUCUAAAAAUCUGUACCGAACCAAUUAACUGACUCUCUCUAAACCGAACCGAACCGAACCAAACCAUUCACUAUCUAAACUUCUCAAACCGAACCAAUAAACUUCUCAAACCGAACCAAUACACGCUUGCUUCUUCUCCGCUCGAAACCAUAAGUCGCUUGCUUCUUUUCCGCUCGAAACCGUAAGUCGCUCCGCCUCCUCACGACCUUGAUUCUUUUCAUGUUCUUCUCAUGUCCGUUACAGUAAAUCACUUCCCCUCCGUGCGACCUUGCUUCUUCUCCUGUCCGUUACAUUAAAUCAUUUCUUCUCCUCUCAAUGCCGCAGCAUCCAUCCCCUAUUUUCGUUUCAGACGGGAUCGACGGGAUCGUGCUCAUAAAAUUUACCAUCGUUUUAGAUGGAUACUCUCCUCUACCCUGGCCGAUUUUUGCCUAUAAAAUCUGUCCAUGCCUCGCAUCGAAACCAGCGUCUUAUGCUAUUAUCCCGAAAUUUGAACGGUAAGAAAUUAGAAAUUUAGAUAUUCAGUUCAAAUCUUUCUUUUUCUUAUAUAAUAUGAUAAUAAUAAUAAUUUUAUUGUUUUAUCCUCAAGAAUCGACGCUCCUAUUUAUAAUAUCUGGACGUUUCCUUCUUGGUAGGCUUUUGUGUUCAUAUCAAAUCUUUCUUUCUAAUAUAAUAUAACUUUAAUUGAUAUUAUUGUCUUUUUAACUUUCGGUGAAAUUUUAAUUAAAAAAAAGGAUAAACUUCAAAUACCACCCUUGUGGUUUCGCACUUUCUUACUUUAGUACCCUGUGGUUUAAAGUGUAUCAAGUUAGUGUCAUGUGGUUUCAUUUUUAUCUUUUCGUCAGUUUUUCUGUUAAUAUUUCGUUAAAUUAUUAUAUACAAAAAACUUCAAUACCCCAUCUAGAUUUAUUGAAUAUUCACUUUAGUAUCCUUUAGUUUUAACUAUGUCACUGAUUUAACGAAAAAAUUAGUGAAAUCAAUAAUCAAAAGAUAAAAAUGAAACCACAUGGCAGUAAAUUGAUACACUUUAAACCACAGGGUACUAAAACAAAAAAGUGUGAAACCACAUACCUCAUGGUUUAAAUCAUAAUACAUUAAAAAUUUGAGGAUUAAAUUGUUAUUCGUUUUAUAGUUUUAAGGAUGAAAGUGUAAAUCCAAUCUUUCAAAAACUUUUUUUAUCCAUUUUUUUAUAUAUUUUAAAUUUUUAUAGUACAAAAUAAAAAAUUAGAUUAGACUUAGAAAAAUUAUAAAUUUUCUUCUAUGUACAUGAACAAAGGAAAAAAAAUUGAAGUUAGAGGGGAAAAAACAACCUCUCUCCUCUCUCCCCCGCUAGGUCCCCGCUGGGUCCCACCUUGUCCCAGAUUGGAUUUAAAAAAAAUAAAUGAGGGAACAAUUGAGAUGAGAGAAAAAAAAACUUCCUCUUCACACCCUCCCCUGGCUAGGCCAAAAAUUAUAUAAAAAAAUAACUAAAAAAUGAACAAUUAUUAUGUAACACACUGGACCUUUGCAAAUUACGAGGUUCGAGUGUUUGGCCUGUGUUUCGAGCAUUUCUAGAUUUUCUGGACGUUCGUUGACCUUGUUCCGACCUAUGGCUCGUACCCCGAGAAAUGAAGUUUCUAUAGUAGAGCUAAGGCCGCCAAAGAGGAGAACUUAGGCUGCUCUCGGGUUGCCUCUGCACACUGUUGUACCGGUACAAAUACGGUUCUGUACCGGAACACAUUGUGUACCGGUACAGAUAUGGCUCUGUACCGGUACAAAUAUGGAAAAUAGCAAACCCGAGGCUCGGGUUGGGCUGUAUGGCAGGGGUUGUAUCGGUACACUUUCCCGUGUAUCGGUACACUUUGCCCAGAAUGUUGAUUUCGUAGAUGAGGCUUUUUGCAAUUGUUGCAACUCUAUUUAUACCCACCCCAGCCCCUUUGAGAGCUCCUUUGAGCCCUAGAACGUGGAAAGGAGAGGUAAGAACUCCUCUCUUGAUUUUUUUUCCCUUUUUUCUUGCAUUUUAGCCCUUCUUGAUCUUCUCUCUUUGCUUCCCUUUGUUCCUUGUGGGGAUUUCCACCUUGGAGAAGCAUUGGAUUGAAGAUUGGAGCUUGUGGGAAGGAAGAUCUUCAACCCUAGCCUACUUGGAGGGUUGAUUUGGAGCUCUUGUGAGGUUAGUAAGCUUAAAUCCCCCUUUUGAUCUAUGUUUAUUGGUUUUUGUUGUUGGAAACCCUAGAAUUGAGAAUUAGGGUUAGAAUUGGGGAUUUUGGUUUAGAUGCUUUUAGAACCAUAUUGAAUGGUUUAGAACCUUUGUAUAGGUUUGAUUAGAAGGCCUCUACCUCCCAUUUGGAGAUCGAGAGGGCUUUCUUCGCAUUCGGUGAGUUUUCUCACCCUUUUCUUGAGUUGCUUAAUGUUUGAGCAAUAGGUUGUUCGUUUCGAUUUUAUAACUCUCCUUUUUAUACCUUUAGGGUGCUAGGAGACUAGUGGGCACCUUCGUCAGUUUAAACGAAGGGUUGCGAGAGGUCACGGUGGGUUUGGCUUCUUUGAAAGAGGAGAAAAUCUCUCCUAAGUGGUUAAAUAUUUUCGUAUCAUCGAAGUGCAUUCAUAUUCAUGCUAGAUAGUAUUUUUAUGAAUUUUAGAAUACUUAAAAUGCAUGUGUUAUGUAUCAUGAAUUUUCAUCUCUAUGUAGUAGAGCCUAUGUGUAGUAAACAUGCAUGUGAGAAGUAUUCUCUUUUGUGGAUCGGAACCAUGUCUCAUGUGAUGAAUAUGACUAGAAUUAUGCAUUCUUGAACAGUAAACUCAUAUUUGUACUUAGUGAAUAAAAGUGUCAUAAAGGGGCACUCGGACUGGUAAACAGUUAAACUGCAACCUAGUGACAUAGUGAUAGGCCAUUGAGAUAUCGACUAUAUUCCAUGUUUUACACGUGAUGACAUAGUGAUAGGCCAUAGUGACACUUACUAUAUUCUAUGUUUUAGACAUGAUGACUUGAGACUUGAGACAGACUGUUACGCUUGCUUGCCAUUGUGCUCAUUCGCAUAUGCUUGUGAGGGUCGCUCUCUACAAGCCAGCACUUCGGAGAUAGCCAUCGCGAUAUAUACUCGCCGUGCGGGAUUGGGCGCCGAAAUGGGAAGCCGUGGGUGAGGCUCAUUCCUAGAGUGGGGAUGUUGACUAUAAUGGGGCCAUUAGGCACGGCGCAGGCCGGACUGCCCACGGGUAGGUCCUACAUGAUUGGUACCUUGGUGCCUUAGUAUACUGAGAGGACAUUCACUAGAAUAGUAAACAAUGCCAACUUACUAUUUACCUGUGGACAUAGUAGCAGUUUUACUUAUGCAUAUACAUGUUACAGUAGCUUUCUUACUUAGGCAAAUUCAUGCUAAGUAGAGAUAUCAUGUUGUAGUAAGUUUUAUGUUUAUUUGCUUACCCUUCAUAUUGGUCAUAUUUGUACUUACCCCUUCUUAGCUUUUGGGCCUAGUGGUGCAUUUCACCGAAGUCAGUAAUUGCCUACUGGGAACUAUUAUUUAAUAGUUCUCACGCCUCCUGUUUUAUGUUUUCUUUCAGAGCCCUCUACACCGGUGGAGGCACAGGACCGCGGUAAGGGGAUCGCUUGCUAGAUAGCGAGGAGUUCUUUUGCUUUAGGUGGUUUGUUCUCUCCUUUUGUGUUGUUUGAGAGAAAGUGAUAGUUGUAUCCAUAUAUAGAGACCACCUAUGUUAUACUUUUAGCACUUAUUUUUUUUGGGAUAUCCUUUGUACUACUUUAUGGUUCUAUUUAGUAGAUUUUAGCUUUCUUUUAUGCUUCUAUAUCUUAGACUCUAGAUGUUGUAUACUCUGAUACUUCUAGAUGUUCUUCCAUUCUUGCUUUAUUUAUCGUUUUGUAUUAGACGCCUUAUAUGUUGUAUACGUAUGACGGGUCUGGACACGUACCGGGCGGGAUUCUGCUGGAUCCCGGGGCGUGACAUAUUACUGUAAUAAAAAUAUAAAAAUAAAUUAUAAGAAAGAUUAAAAAAAAGGUCAAAAAUCAUAUUAAUAAGAAAUUAUAUAUAAUUAUAUUUAUAAUUAUAUAUAUUAUAAUUAUUAUUAUAAUUAUAUAUAAUUUUUAAAAAAAAUGAUUUAUUAUUCUUAGAUUUUUGCCUCUAUUCUUCUUUUAUCUAUCUUAUCAUUUUAUUCUUAUUUUUUUUUUACUUUUUUUAUAUUUUAUUUGUAAAUUUCCUUCCUUACUUUUUAUAUAUUUUUAAUAAUUCUUUUAUUCAGCUUAAUUAAAAUUUAUAUUUAAUACAAAUAAUUUAACUUAUUUAAAAAUUAUUUAUAUAUUUUUAAUUUUUAUAAAAAUUUAAAAAAUUAUAAUUUUUUUUAAUCAUAUAUUAAGAGAAUAAAUAUGUAAAAAAAUUAAGGCCAAUUUGCAUAAAAAAUUCACUUAUUUUGGGUUUUUGCAAAACCGGGCCACCUUUUUCGUUUUUGCAAAUUCGGUCCGCUUUUUCAGCAAACUGACCAAAAUACCCUUAUUACUUUUUCUCUUUCCUCUUUCUCUCUCCUCUUCGUUCUCUCGUUCUUUUUUUUUUUUUUAGCCGACAAAAAAAAAGCGACGGACGAGCAACGCCCAAAGCGGGCUCUUCUUCUUCUUCCUUCCUGCAGGAACGAAUUUUUUUUCUCUUUUUCUUUCUUCUUCUUCUCGCUCUGCUGGAGCUUUUUUUUUUUUUUUUUUUUUUUUUUUUUUUUUUUUUUUUUUUUUCCCUCCUUCUUCCUCUUCUUCGUUCGUCUUUUUUCUUAACCUGUAAGAGCACGGGGCGGCACAAGCGACUUCCGGCUCGGCCACGGAGCCCGACGCUCGAGCCGACGCCCCGUAGCCCGCGGGAAGCUCUAUUUCCUCGUCGAACUCUCCCCACGCGACCUCGAGCACGACACGACACGCCGCGAGGUCGCGCACCGGCGCCGGCGCCGGCGCCGCGCGUGUCCUACUAGGUUGCCCGAGGAAGGCCGCGCAAGUCGGACUACGAGCCGACCGCUCGCACCGACGCCCUGCAGCCGGGGAGCCUACUUCCUCCCCGCGCCGACCCUUGAGCCCCACCACUCCAGCGCGAUUUCACUAUUACAGCAUUAAAUGUGAACUAGCACCAUUAAUGUGUAAUUACACCAUUAAUGGUGUAACCAUUACACGGCAUAAUGGUGUAGUUUCACCAUUAAUGGGUAAUGGUGAAAUGCCGCGGCGGCGAUGGCGCCCGCCGGAUGCCGAGCUUCGCCGCGGAGCUCGGGGCGCGCCGCGCCCGCGCACGGGGCUGGUGCACGGCGGGGCGGCCUGCGGCGUCGGGUCGAGCGAGGCGGCGGGGGAGGUCGGGUCGCCGAGCUCGAGGUCGGCCGGUGACGCCAACAGCCUCCCUCUCCUCGCCGUCCGCCAAUAGCGGAGGAGCGCACGUCGCGAUCCGGCAGUCGCGGCGGGCGCUCGGCUUCCCGGUUGCUGAGUCUCUUCGUAUGGUGUUAAUGGUGGGCACCUUACACCAUUAAUGGUGAAUCACACAUUAAUGUGUAACCAUUACACAUUAAUGGUGUAAUUUUCACCAUUAAUGGUGUAGAUGUGAAUCUGGGCGCGGCGGUGGUCGGGCUCGGGGGGCGCGGGGGAGGAAGUAGAGCUGCCCGGUUGAGCAGGGCUGUCGGGGUCGAGCGUCGGGCUCGUAGUCUCACGCGCUGGCCUCCUCGGAACUAGUAGGAACGCGGCGGCUUGCCGGGCCGACGCGCGCCGGUGCCGGUUGCCGCCCGUCGUGGCGGCGGUCGGCCGGUCGGCGCGGGGGAGGUCGACAGGAGGAAGUAGACUUUCCCCAGGCUUGAGGCGGGUGCGUCGGGGGUCGACGCGGUCGGGCUCCGUGGCGAGGCGAAAGUCGCCGUGCGCGCCCACUGCAUCUUAUAGCGAAGAAAAAGAAGAAGAAGAAGAAGAAGAAGAAGAGGGAACAAAAAAAAUAAAAGCUCGCAGCAGGAGGAAGAAGAAGAAGAAAAGAAAAAGAGAAAAAAAAUUGCUCCUGAAGACAGAAGAAGAAGAGCCCGCCUGGUGGUGCUCCGAGCGGUCGCUUUUUUUUCGGCGAAAAAAAAAAAAGACGAGAGAACGAAGAGGAAGACAGAUAGAUAAGAGGAAAGAGAAAAAGUAAUAAGGGUAUUUGGUCAUUUGCUAAAAGCGGACCGAAUUUGCAAAAAGAAAAAGGUGGCCGGUUUUUGCAAAAACCAAAAUAACUGAAUUUUUUAUGACAAAUUGGCCAAAAAUUAAAGAAAAAACAUUAAAGGGAGAAAAAGAGACAAAAAAAAAAAAAAAAAUCCCUCCGCCUCUCCUCGUACUCUCCCUCGGCUGGGCCCCACCCUUCUGCUCUCACUCUCUCUCUGCCUCUCCCGUCGCCUCUCCUCGCCCGCAUCCUCUCCCCGCCGCCACGCGGGCGCCCCGCCGCGCGCGCAACCGCCUUUUCGCCUCCUCCUCUCCCGCGCGCGCCGCUCGUCGCGUGCACACGCGCCCGGCCCGCGCGCGCCCGCUCUGCCGCUCCCCCUCGCGCCGCGCCCCGCGCUCGCGCUCGCCCCCGCCCGCGCCACGAGGCGCCCCCUCCCCGCUGCGCGCUUCCUCUCCUCUCACCGUUUCGUACGAUACGCCGUUCCCUCUACCCUUUCCACCCCAUCGUCUGUCUCUCUUCCUUCUCCGCCACAUACGAUGGAUCCGAUGAGAUGGAUCCAAAUCUCAUCAAAUCUGCCCUCUCCUCUCACCGUUUUGUACGGUCCGUCGUUUCCUCUCCCUUUUCCACGGCAUCGUCCCUCUCCCUUCUUUACCGCAUAUGAUGGAUCCGAUGAGAUGGAUCCGAAUCUCAUCAAAUCCGCCGCUCUGCCUACGAUUCAUCUUGCCUACUAUUAAUUUUUUUUCCUUAUAGAAUAUGCUAUUGUCUUUCUUUUCAGGAAUCCGAAAGCUUUUAGAUGAGACGUGCAGUGGCAAAAUGGUCAACGAAUGGGUUUUUUAGGUAUCUCUUCAUCUCAUACUUAAUUUGUGGAUUUGCAUAUUAUACAUUUGAUGUAGUGAUGAAUCUUGUUGGUUGUUUGGCUAUAUAAUUUUCUGAAAUGUUUAGAUGGUUAUUUUCGAAAACUUUUUAAUUCAUAAAAAUUUUGUAGCUUUUUAAUUGAUAAAAAUUUUGUUAGCUGAACAAAUUAUCAUUCUUUUAAGUCAUAUUUCAUUCUUUUCAAUGUUUGGUUAAUCAAAGUUAUGAUUAUGACGAUUGAAGGUGCUCAACCGUAUUAUUGUGGAAGGACGAAAGUAUGGGAUUGAAUUGAUUCUUAGCUUAGUCAAUAAUCUAAAACAUUACAGUGGGAAGAUGCAAUAUAUUAAAUAUGCGUGAGACAAAAGCAUAGGAUUGAGCUCCUCAAAUGAUUCUUUCUUCUUUGAUCUAUCGAUUUGGAGAUAUUCAAGAUUUAUUAGAGGGUAAUAUCAGCCCGCUGAUAAAUAUGUACUAAAAACAGUUUAUUGCUAAGUUGCAAUCGAAUUUAUUUGGGAUUCUCUGAGAAAUGAACUUUAAAUAUAAAAAUAUAAUGAUAUUUGAUCCAAUAUCAGAUACUUCUUAGACGAUGCUAACAAAGAAAAACCACUUGGCUAGAACUGAUAGAGAUAAUCCCAUCAUCUUUACAUGGGAAUCAAUGAAUGAACCUCAUUGUAUAUCAGAUGCAUUUGGUGACACCUUUCAAGUAAGUGCUCUCAAUUUGUUUUUCUUUUUUUAGAAAAAUAAGUGUCCUUAAUUUCAUAUCUCAUUGAUGUGUCAUAAAAUAUCAUGUCACCUUGUAAUAGAAGCGCAAUAGAUAAUAAUAGUACAUUGUGAGUUUCAAUUGAUAUUUUUUGCUCUAAAGAAUUGUAGGAUUGGAUUGAAGAAAUGGCAGAAUAUGUGAAGUUGUGGGAAUAUAUUGACAAGGGUAUUUAUGCAAAGAAAGGAAAAUAGAAAAAAAAAAAAAAAAACUGUCCAAACUGGUUUAUUUCAGUAGUGCCUACGUAGUAUUUGAUAGAAUAACUAGAAAAGCUAGGAGGAGGAGGCUAUAUUACACUCCUGGUCCUCAAACUAUAAGUUGCACAACACUUUGGUCUUCAAACUUAAGUACAUGAUGAUGGUAGUAUUGAGACCGUUUUACAUCUACUUGUAAAUUCAUGAAGAAGAUGGAUAAUGUAAAAUUACCAAUAAUGUAAAAUUAUCAAUUUGUAGAUACUAAUGUUCAUUGCAUAUUAAAAUAAUGAGAGAAUGCUGUGAACCAUGAAAAUUGUGUAAGAUUGUAGACUUAUCGCGUAUCUCUAAAAUAACAACUGUACACUGAAGGAAAAUAUCGUGGAUUUAAAAAUAUUCACACUAUAUGAAGUCUAAAGUUUAAUCAGAGUGGAAUUAAAUGUUUUAUACCCAGUUUUUCAGUUUUUAGGCAGAGAGAUUUUCUGAAUUCUAUGAAGUAUGCAAAGGUAUUCAUAUCGGACGACAAGAAAUAUUGUUGAAAAUUGAAUACGUUCGACUUUGAAGCUAUGACUUUAUUUCUAUUUAUGCUAUCAUCAUCAUCAUCAUUAGUGGUAGUAGUUAUUAUUGUCGUUAUUGACUUGGUGCUGGUUAUUGUGCUCCUCCUCUAAAGAUGACAUCAUAAAUUUUUAAUUUAUUUUAAAAAAAUGCAGCCCCCAAAAUCAUUUCUUAUGGCUAUAAUUUGAAAUUAGAUCUUUGAUAGUUCGUAAAAAUUAGGUUUGAAAAUUAGAUCUUUUAUUGACAUGAAGAAGUAAAUGAAUAGAAUUCCUCAAUUGGGCAUUUUUCCGAAAUGCUUAGGUGGUUAUUUUCGAAAGCUUUUUAAUUCAUAAAAUUUUUGUAGCUUUCUAAUUCAUAAAAAUUUUGUUACCUAAACAAAUUAUCAUGCUAUUAAAUCAUAUUUCCUUCUUUUUAAUGUUUGGUUAAUCAAAGUAAUAAUUAUGAUGAUUGAAGGUGCUCGAUUGUGUUAUUGUGUAUAUAUAUAUAUUACAUGACAUAUCAGUUCAUUUUUAUUCCUAGAAUCAUCUACCUUUUUUGUAAGAUGCAUGCCAUUGUUGCAGCCUCUAUGGACCUCUAAUUAUCAUGCGAAAAUGAUGAACUCAAUUUAUAAUCUUAUACAAGAAAGCAAAAUAUUGAAUUUUUGGCCACUAUCAUUUAUUCCGCUUUAUUAUUUUCACACUGUUGUGAUUUAUUUAGAGUUCUGAAGUAACAGCAUGUAAUUCUCAAUUUUCUUUAAUUGCACUUCAAUUUGUAAAGCACCGUCAAAGCAUGAAGAUGAUGACUUUCAGGAGUAAAUUGUGGUUUUUGGGUAAAGUGUUCCUUCAAUACGGGAUUAUUAGAAGUGUUUUAGAGUUUCAAGAAUGCCGCUCUUUUUUUUUGGGGACAAUUUUUGUUGUCAUAAAUGUCAGAUAGUGAUUUUAUUUCUUUUUGGUGCAUCCAAAUUAGCGAUUGAUGAAAUUUUGUGCAAUUUUUUCCGUUGAAAAGAAUUUGCAUGAGACCAAACUCAUUUACUAAGGUUGAUUAGACAAACUAAUUCACAUUUCUGAUAUUUUUUUCUCAAGAUUAUGGUUGGUUCAUCAAAAGAUUACUUUGAACCAUCAAGUCCCCUACUUUGUUCUUUUCAACAGCUCCCAUUAGCAAAGCCGAAGCCAAUGAUGGUAAGAGUAGUUUGACAUUAAUCUUUCUAAGUCGUUUGAUAAAUUUGAAUACUUCCACACUUUAUUCCUAAUGUCGAUUGAUAAGAAUAUAGCUUAUUUUGUAUGAUAUAGUGUCGCCAUUUUUUGCAAAAUUUUCAACAGAUAUCACAAUUUGACUGCACAUAUUUUGAGCAAAAACACAUUACAUCCCUAUUCCCUCCGAAAGUUGAUCAUGUUUUAGGAGGCCUUAAACCAUUCUUUCUUUCUUUUUUUUUUACUUUAAUUUUCUUUUAAUUGACACCUCUGUAGCUUCCAAUUAUCUUAUUUAUUUAUUUUUAUUGUUAAUUAAUUUAAAAUAUUUUGUUAAAUUUUAUGGUCAAUUAGUUAUAAACCCCAAUAGCCUGCCGCAUCUUUGCCUUCCUCUGCUCUCUACCAACCUUUGUAAGUUCUACUCCAUCUCUGUCUAUUGUUGUGCACUUCGUUUAUUUGUAUAUAUCUAAAAAGUAGUCCUAUACUUUGGUUGAUUAUGGAAAUUAAUCUGUUAUGUAGUUUCUUUUUUUAUCGCGUAUAGUUAUAAUAAAUACUAUUCAAAAUUUUAAUUUGGAAUUCUUUAUUGACACAACAUUAAUUUUUCAGACUGAUACAUAUAAUAGUGAUCUACAGUGCAAUGCUCCAAUGUAAAGCCUUUUAUAUUCGUUAUCAAUUCUCAUGUGGCUUUCAUCUUUUAAGAGAUAGCUCUGUAUGUUAAUUUUUGUCAUCCAAUUCCUAUGCUUUAGAAUGCUCCCACCAUUUAUUUGUAUACAUUCAUGUUUUCCCAUGCAAAUUCUAUGCAUAAGAAGGUCGAGUUAAGUUCUUUGAUCUUGCUUAGAGUUUGAUACAUAUAUGUAUAUGCAUACUAUGAAACCUUUGGAAGAAGAGUAUGCAAAAGCUAUCAAAUUAACGCGCAAAAUGUCAAAGUACCAAAAAAGUACAAAGAUGCAAAAAAUAAUCCACAAAGACACAUAGGAAGAAGCCAAAAUGGACUGCAGUUUGAGUAGUUUCUUCCCUUUCUUUGAGUUGGCAUGCUGUCGGUUUUCAAAUUCUUACUUUGAUUGCCGUUAAAAAUUCUUUGUUUCUAUCUAUUCCGUUAGGUUUUCUUCCUACUUUUUGAAGUUUGAAUUAUGUUGGUGUGCACUUUUUUCAAGUCUCUUUGGUUUGUAAUGGGCCUCAUUAUUUCUCCAACUAAUUAGUUUUUUUUUUAACCUUUGAACUUCAUUUCUCAAUUAUUUACACUGAAGUGCUCAAGCUAUUAAUUUGACACAAGUGCAAUUAUAACUAUGUAGGUUCCAACCGUGUCUAGAUGUUCAUCGAGUUGGUAGUUCAUCCACUAUGUAACCUUGCGCUACAUUCAUCAUAUGCUGUUUUUGAAGUCUAAAUUAUAUUUGUUCACUUAGGCAAGAAGUUUUCUGGAAGGCAUCAAAAAUUUAUUCAAGAAUAUGUGAUUUUCAAAGAGGCCUUCAAUGUUUGAGAGCUCCCUGAGGAAGGAUUAGCAACAUUUUGGGUUGCUGAUUUUCAAUUCUUUUUUAAAGUGUAUAAAAUAGUGAGCUUUUCAUUUCUUUAUGAUGUUAUUGAAGCGUUCUAAUUGAGACAAAAAAAUUACUUAAAAUUUGAUGCCUUUUGAUAGAGGGUCCUCUUCUCAUACUAAUAAUUGGUUUAUCAAUACAAAAUACUAAUGAAAAUUUUCUGUUAGCAAAUUUAAAUCCAAUUUUGACAAUGUGCUACACUGAGGAAAGGUCUGAAUGAGUUCACGUAGAAAAUAUUUGCUUAGAUGCAGUUUCAAGUAAGAAUAUUUGUUGAAUAUUACAAAAUGAUUUUAGAGACGGUUUAAGAUCACCUUUCUUUACUUUUUAUUUGGGUAACAUAGUUCCUUUUUCCUUUUUAUUAUAUAGGUUUGUUUAUGAUCAUAAGAUGCUUUAAAUAUAUAGUUUUAUAUGUAAUUGCUGGUAAUGCUUAAAACCUUUUAGAUGUCAUUUAGACUUGGCAUCUUCCCAGUUGAUUAGACCAUGUAAUUCAAUAACUUAUAUUGAGUUUCUUGAUAGUCAUAUAUUUUGCUUAAUUAGACAAUGUAAUAUAGUGAAUACAAUUUUGAGUGCACUAUGCAAGGAAACAGGAAAAAAAUGAGAAGUUUAUAGUAUUUUAAUUACAAGUAAUUUUGUUAAGAAUCUAGCUGCUCUGCUAGGUAUAUUCUUGGGAAAGAGGAGAGCAUGGAAGGCUCAGAUUUGGUGAUGAUAAUAGUAAAAUGGUUCCUCAAAAAGUUCAGCUCUUAGUUGGAGAAACCAAAUAGAGGAUUACAAAAGUGAAAUGAUUCUUUAUAUAGGAAAAUAGAGAGAUUGUAUGAAAGUCUCUUAAAUUUUUCUUUGUUGAGUUAUCUAAGAAAAGUUGGACUAACUAAUUUAAACAUCUACAGGACACUCAUUCCAGCGUAUGCAGAAUAUUUUCUUUAGAUAUUAUGUUUAUCUAGCAAGCUGUUGAACAAGCUCAACUUAUGUCGGUUUGGUUAUCAACAUUGAACUAUGUGUGCCAAGCUCUUUGACUAGGAUUUUCAUGUCUGUUAGCUUUUUUUGAGGUUGAUGAGAGUAAUAGUUGAAAUUCUUCCAUUUUUUCGUUGGUAAUUUGCACUUUUGUGAAAUUUUCUUCAAAUUUGAUGAAUUUUUUAUAUAAAUUAAAUUUUUUUUUUGCCUAAAUCUAAAGAAAACCUUAACAAAUUUAUGUAGCUUAUACUAUCAUUUUCAUCAACUGCUAUAUAAUUUCAUUUUUUCUAUAGAAUCAAUCCGCUGCAACGCGCGGGUACCUUCACUAGUUAAUAAUUAAUUCCCGUAUCAAUUUCAUCAGCAUCGAUCAUUUGUCGUAAUUACUACCCGUAGUAGAGGACGAGGAGGAGGAUCAGAGGAGGAGGAUCAGACUCAGAGGAUCAGAGAGGAUUGAGGAGGCGUAGGGGAUGGCGAGGUCGAGCGCGGACGACGUGGAGUUGCGGCGGGCGUGCGAGGCGGCGAUCGACGGGGGCGGGGGGAAGCAGAAGGUGGUUCUGUGCAUCCGCGUCGCCAAGAGCCGCGGCGUCUGGGGCAAGGCCGGCAAGCUCGGCCGCCAGCAGAUGGCCAAGCCCAGAGUCCUUGCCCUCACCAGUAUGCAUCUCUCUCUCUCUCUGUAACCUCUCUCUCUCUCUCUUGCUGCAUAUACAUUCCAAUCUCAUAGCUAAGCUAGGCUACACUGUCCUUUCAAUCUCUCUCUCUCUCUCUGUGGGUGAUCAUCAUAAUCUCUUGACAAAAUACAACGACGACAUCCUCAAGUGUUCGAUGUCAAAGAAUUCUAGUUGCUGCUGUAACUCAUUAAAAAACUACAAUUUGAGCGCUUAUGCAUCAAAGCUUUCUCGUCAUAAAUGCUGCUCUUUCCGGGCUCAAUUGAUUAGUUUAGUUGAACCAGUAGCUCGAAUACAAGUCAUUAAUGUGCAUUUUCAAAUGUUCUUUAUGCGGCAUCUAGUGUGACAGCAAGUAACUCAUGCAGCCAAAUCAAAAGGCCAGCGGACUAAAGCUUUCCUUCGAGUUCUGAAAUAUUCUACUGGAGGAAUUCUUGAGGUAACUAAAUGCUUAAAUGCCAUCUUCAUGACGUAUUACUAUGCACGUAGAUCAUUUUCACUUUGAUUUUGCUAUUCAUGUUACAUGCUUAAACCUCAUCAUGCAAGCGGUACACUUUUAAUAUCUUUUAACUCUUUUGCGUCUUUAUGAGACCUUCCAGGACUCUCCAUAUGGUGAUUACUGUUCGCCCUUACCCAAUUGUGCGGUACUGUGCAAUAAGAAAGCUCCUUAGAUGAAAUGAAAUGAAAGUGGUCUUUGUGGGUUUCGACAUGUUGAUGCUUUUAUAAUCUUUGUGAUUUACAUUUUGCCAAUUGCUAAUGUAGACAAUAACCAAAAGGUCUUAACGAGUUCCUGAAGGUGUUUCUUAUUCGCUUGUUUUGUAUUGUAGCCGGCGAAGAUUUACAAACUGAAGCAUCUUUCAAAAGUGGAGGUUAUUCAAAAUGAUCCCAGUGGUUGUACCUUUAUGCUGGUACGCUCUUUUAUCUUACUCUACUUGUUUGUUUCCAACUUGUCAAAAUGUUUCGUUUUGAUUUCGCAUAAGAAGAGAACAACAGAAUCUAUUAUAUUUUUCCUACAUGCUAUUCUGUUUUUGAUCCUUAAGCAGAUCAUUUUGUUUCUUUUAGGGAUUUGAUAACCUUCGAAUGCAAAGUGUUGCACCUCCUCAAUGGACGAUGCGCAACAAAGAUGACAGGUAAUAGUAGGGAAUGCUCGGAGGUCAUUACUGAAGAUUUCACAUGUGUUCUUACUAACAAUAUGGUUUUUGGUUUCACUUACCAUUGUCUACUUGUAGGAACCGGAUUCUUAUGUGCAUUUUAAACAUGUGCAAGGAGAUAUUAGGUGGUAUCCCUAAAGUUGUUGGUAUAGACAUUGUCGAGAUGGCUCUAUGGGCAAAGGUGCAUUUAAAAGGAAAUUCUUUUUCUGCAGUCACUCACAAUUUUUGGCUGUAUCCCUUACAAAUAUUUUGCAAAAGGGGCUACAAAGUUGGGGUUCGACCCAAAUUUAGAGUUAAUAUUGGACUAGGUAAGAAAUUAUAAUUGAUGUUCCAUGGAACAAGUACUACACUAAUAAAGGACUUACCUGAUAAGAAUACAUUGAGAAGACAGAGCUAUUACAGUUCAGAAGGUUGACAAGGCCAGAGUGAGUUGUUAUAUUGUGGGCAUCAAAGGAUAGUAUUUAUCGCACCUCAUCAAGAGUUUAGACCUAAGAUAUUGAUGGCUAAUUUCACCUAAGGGCAGAGUAUUGCUAGGGUAACCAAAUAUAGUGAACUUCAGUGUCCACAUUAAGAUCCAUAUUUUAGGGCCUUCAUUCCGCUUAAUUAUGACCAUACUACCUAGUUUCAUGCUAGUUUGAACUUUAUGUCCUUUUAUCUCUAUACUUCCUAUAUUUUCUAUAAUCACAUGCUACACAUCCUUUGCAAUCUACCCGUUAGAUAAUGUCCAAAAAGGAAAAGUGCAAGCUUCUAAUGAUGAGGUAAAACCCCAAGAUGAAAUAGAUUACCAUGUUGAGGGCUUUAUCCCACAUAGUCAUACAAACUAAACUAGUUUCAUUAGUUGAUUUUUGAGGUGAUGGAUUGAUUAUAUUGAUCCACUUAACAAACUAUAUAUAGCCAUAAUAGUAGAUUCUAAAGAGUAAGGAUUAAAUUGGUCCAAUGGUGUCUGACCCAAAUCUCAUGGCUUAAAUUAUAUAGCUAACACUCAUUAGUAUCUUAAUAGUGAAACUAACUUAAAUGUUUCUUAAUCUCGUUUAGGAAAAUACUCCCGCAAAAACUAGUCAAGUGGCAACUAAAGAUGGACCAGCAACAUCUGUUAUGACAGAGAAUGACUCACAAAUUACUGUCGAAAGAGAUCUUGUUUCACAAGCUGAAGAAGAGGACAUGGAGGCCCUUCUUGGCACGUAUGCUAGUUUCCUAACUUCAAGUUUUAUGUUUUGUUCUAUCUGUGAAAUUCUCAUUUAAACUGGUAUAAUAAUGUGCACACUUCAUUCUAUCGUUGAAUUGCUAGUGUUUGAGGUGAAUGGAUAUGUAUUCACAAUUUCACAUAAUAACUUAGCGAUUUAUUAAAAUUUUUAUGUUACUUUAUUGUAGCACGAAAUGGGUUGUGAUACCAUUUCCAUUCUGCAAUUUAACGAAGUUUUAGUUCUAUUGCUCUUCUGGUUUCUAUUUUGCUUGACAAUUUUCAACUGAAAAAUAUUGGUUGGCACCAAGCUGAGACAUUUUUUUAUGUUUGUUAUCCACAUACGUACUAUGUCACCAAGUAUUUCUGUAAUUUUCUUUCUCUUUGUAUUCCCUCACAUAGAAAUAUAUAAUCUUAAAGAUAGUUCAUUCUUGGAACUAUCAAGGCUAUUGAUAAUAUCAAUACAAGUCAUAUAAUAAAUGUUACAUAUAAAAUUUGCAUUGUCUCAGGGCUGCAUGUUGCUAUAUCUGAACUCGCAAUGCAUAAUAUCUACUAUAUAAAGCAUUAUUAAAUUCAAAAUAUUUAAACCUUUAUCUGCAUCAAAAGAUAGAUGAAACAAGGAUAAAGGUGAAGAUACCUUGCCCAUACUUUCAUAUUCAUCUACUUUUUCUUUUUGGUUUGUUCAUUAAUAUAUGUAAUUUUUAAUAACUUAAAUGCAGUACUAAUUUGUAUACUCUGUAGGUAUGUUAUGGGCAUUGGUGAAGCAGAGGCAUUUUCAAAAAGAUUGAAGCGGGAGCUUCUAGCUCUGGAAGCUGCAAAUGUCCAUGCCCUUUUGGAAAGCGAGCCUAUAGUAGAAGAGGUUCUUUUUACCUAGUCUUCGCUUCAUACAAGAUGUUAAACAUGAUGAUGAUCAAUAUAUGAUAAAUUAUAAUUUCAUAGAUUUUUUUAAGAAAUUAUUCAGAAUUUCUGGCAUAUAGAAAAUGCAAUUAAUGGCAGUAAAUAUCAAGAAGGAAUAAAGUGACCCAAAUAGCUAGUAACGGUGAAGUUCUAUUUUUAUGCACUGUUGCAGUUUCCUAUUUUGUUUCGAUUGUUUGCUUUUCUUCUUUUAUAGAAUACAAAUUAUUGAUCAACUAACAUCGUGAAGUAGCAAGUCUAACACCUAAAAACUGAAUCCCAGGAAAAUAGUGAGGUAGUGCAUUAUCACUUUAUACGCAAUCUAGGCUAAUCAAGAGGAAACAAUCUCCAGAAAGUACGUCUUAGUCUCCACAAGGGGCCAUGUGAGAGUAAAACUCCAUAACAUUUCACAACACAUGCCUGUCAUGAGAUUUUAUCUGCUAAUUUCUAAUAGUUACAAUUUUGUUCUGGUUUAUAACUUUGCUGCAACCCUUUGAGGUGCUUCAUUGGACCCUAACCUUAUUUCUAUAUUAUAAUUCAGCUUUUUUUAAAAAUAAAUAUUGAGCUGCUGAAAAAUCAAAUCAGCUCCAAAAGUGUCUAUGCCAGCUGAAUAGAUAAUAAUAUCAAUGUACUUGCCUUCUCUUUAAAAUUAUACAGUAAUUGCAUACUCGUAAUAAUUGCAAAUUCCAAACUAUGCAGGUACUUCAGGGUCUAGAAGCAGCUAGUAUAUGUGUGGAAGAUAUGGAUGAGUGGCUUGGUAUUUUCAAUGUGAAGCUUAGACAUAUGAGAGAAGACAUUGAAUCGGUAUGGUAUUCACAGCCUACUGAUACUACAUAGCAAAUUUCGCCAUUAAGAGCAUAUUUAAUCUUCAUCUGUCAAGGUGAUGUAAAGAUUUAAAAAGUAUUUUCACAGCACAAUCAUGCGAGAAGCCAACACAAUAUUUUAUAUUUUUUUCCUGCACAGUUUGCACACUUUAUCCUUUCUACUUUCCAUUAUUUCCAAACCAAGAAAUCUUUACAUAUUUAUGCGAUAUCUGAAAUUUAAAGCCUCAAUUGUCAUCACUCACAAUAUCUGAUACUUAGUUUGUCGCAGAUAGAAUCUCGUAACAAUAAGUUGGAGUUGCAAUCGGUAAGUAACAAAGUGCUUAUUGAGGAGCUCGAUAAGUUACUUGAGCGCUUACAAAUACCUUCAGAGGUGCGCUUGCCGCUCAUUUAAUGUCAUAUACCUUCCUCUUAUGAUGGUAUUUUGAUUGAAUUUUCUUAAUAAUUAUUUUCCAAUUGUUGAUACCAUUGAGUUGAUGAUAGUUCGAAGCAGCUCUAACUGGAGGUUCAUUUGAUGAGGCAAAUAUGAUUAAGAACAUUGAAGCCUGUGAGUGGUUAACUGGUGCGAUAAAGAAUAUUGAAGUGCCAAAUUUGGAGCCAUGCUAUGCAAAAUUACGAGCUGUAUGCCUUUUCCUUUUGCUUGGAUAAUAAUUUCUCUGUGCAUAAGUAGCAUCAAAUUUGACAAAUUUACUGGGUUGACAGAAGCUAUAAAAUCUAAUUUCUUGAUGACUGUAUAAUAAAUAAUACCAACCUUAGGAUACAGAGGAUCUGGAUAAAGCCUAUAAUCAUAUAUGAUCUAUAUAUUAUGUGGCAAAGAACUAAUAUAUAUUGGCAGUAAUUUCAUUGCACUUCGUUCUUGUCCUUUUGUUUACUGUUAACAUGAAAUCUAAUAUAACAGUAGAGUAAAGAUCAUUAGUUUCUGCAACUUCUGAGUUUCCUAGUGGAAUCUUAAUGAACCAUUCAUUUGUCGCACUGCAUUUACAUAUUACAUUUUACCUUAGGUCAUUCGUUGCUGUUGCUUUGCAUCUGGAGUUUGAAUGAACUUAUUAUUAAUAUCUUUACAGGUCAAGGAAAAACGUGCCGAAUUUGUGUUGCUGAAGUGUACAUUUGUUCGGCGGGCAUCAGAAUUUCUAAGAAAUUACUUUCCUAGUUUAAUUGAUUUUAUGAUAAAUGACAAGAGUUAUUUUUCUCAGGUAAUGACAUAGUUUCAUUAUCUGCUAAUCAUUGCAAACAAGUAGUUUCAGGAUUUUUACCUAAUUAUGCUUUUCAGCGAGGACAGCUGAAGAGGCCUGACCAUGCUGAUCUUAGAUACAAGUGCAGGAUAUAUGCACGACUUCUGCAGCACAUAAAGGUCCUUUUUUUUUUGAGAAAGUCAAGGAGUGAGCAUUAGCUUUAAGUCGUAGUGCUUUUUCAUGAUUCUGACUUGCAAAUCUUUCAGUCUCUGGACAAGAAUUGUCUGGGACCACUGAGGAAAGCGUACUGCCAUUCUCUUAACCUGCUACUCCGUCGAGAGGUCAGGAGUGAAAUUGUACUUUAAAAUUUGACCAGUAUAUAUAUUUUUCCUUUGAAUUUCUAAUUAUUUCUGCUUAAAUAAGAACAUGAUAAUAUAUGCUGUUGACCAAUAAUGACGAUUUCUACAAGAGUAGAUUAACUAUCUUGCAGAAUUGCACAAAUGUGCAUUCAUUGACAUCAAUAUUAUGAUUUAUUCAGACUGGGAAUUACUUCUUAGGUCAUUAAUUUAUUCUUAAAGAAAAUUGAGCGAAUCUGGGAUUCGGUUGUGCUUCUUAGCUUUGCAAUUUGCUGUCUAUAUUCAUUCAAGAAAACCAUCCUAAGGAACUUUCUUUUUUUGGUAAAAAAAAAAAAUAGGAUUGAAAAUAUUUUGUCCCCGAGGAUGAAGUGGCCAUUUUGAAUCAGCCCCCUCUACUAUAUUUCGAUUGUCACUUCUUCGGCAUUUUUUGUUUUGAUUCAAGGCAUUCUGUCAACUGAAAUUGGGAAUGCUGUUAAACAUAAUGGCACACUUUAAAGAUAGCGGGAUAGUUGGUUCUAUUUGUUUAAGAGGAUGGCUUUGAUUAUGUAAUAGCAGUAAUGAAAUAAAUUAUGAAUUUGUGCUAUAUCUAUUUACUUUAUUUGGGCUUUGUGUUUCACAGGCCCGUGAAUUUUCUAAUGAACUUCGUGCUAGUACAAAGGUAUCAAAGAGUUCUACUGUUUGGCUUGAGGGCCCUCCAGGUUCAAGUCAGACAACUAAUAGUGCUGAUAGUUCUUCAGCUUCUGAAGCAUACUCAAGGAUGCUCACAGUAUUUAUUCCUCUUCUCGUAGAUGAGGUAAUAUUAUUUUAUUCUUCCAUAUGUUUCAUCUAACACAGGCAUGCCUUGGAACAGAAAUAUUUUAACUGUUAUUUUCAUUGUAGAGCUCUUUCUUUGCACACUUCAUGUGUUUUGAAGUGUCUGCACUUGCUCCAUCUGAGUCCUUUGGCAGUAACAAAUUUGGAUCUGAUGGCACAGAAACAAAUCUAGCUGCUCACACUGGAAGUGAUGUCAAGCACAGUAAUAUUCUUGCCUAUGUUGUUAAGAUAAAUUUUAAUACUAUGCCUUUUCUUCUGCAUUAUGUGUACAAAUUUGAAGUAAUAUCAAAUUCUUGUGAUUCUCCCUGCAGAGAAUAAUUCAAAUGAAUUGGAAAUUCUAAAUGAAUGUCUUCGAGAGUUGCUUGACGGAAUCCAGGUUAGUUUUCUGUAGUUGUAAGAAAUUUUCUUAUGCAUUACAGCUGACUCUGAAUUUGAAUCAUGUCAUACCAUAAAUGCGUAAUGUGCUUGCUGGCGAAAUCUUUACUAAUUUUGUUGCUUUUAUUCUUCACAUUUCUAAGUCUGCAGUGUAUAUGCUAUUAAGCUUUUUCAUAUGAAAGCAUUAUGCCUAAAUGUAGGAGGCUGUUGAUCUUAUUAACAGUAAAGCUUUUUCAUAUGAAAGCUUUAUGCCUAAACUAUAAAUGCCGUUAUCCUUACAUAAUGCAAGUAUAAUAGUGAGCUGUUUUGCCAGACAUUUGAAAGAGGUACUGAUUAGUUAGAAACUCCAAUUCUGCAAUAUUACUAUAUUCAGCUAGACUAUGAGAUGAUUCUUUAUGUCAUUUUCCAACGUCAAGUUAUGUGCUAUAUAUAUAUUUUUCAUGACAAACUUUAGAACAGCAACAUUAGGCUCAUUGUGGGACUUCACUUAUUUACUUAUUAUUCUAACUUACUAUCUCAGGAAGACUUCUAUUCUGUGGUAGAUUGGGCAUGCAAAAUUGAUUCGCUUUGUUGCAUAUCGAUGCACGGUAUCACAGACCGCUAUCUUUCUACUCAAAAAGCUGAUGUAGCAGGAUUUGUUCGUGUGUUGCUUGAUGACCUAGAGACCAGAGUUUCCAUGCUCUUCAGCAGGGUUUGUUUAUAUGCAAUAUGAUUUUUUGGUUGUCCUAGACACUUUGGAAUUGCAUGCAACAGACAUCUGACUAACUUUUGUUUCCUUUUUUCCUUUUUCAUCUAGUUUGUUGAUGAUGCUUGUUAUCAGAUUGAGAAAUAUGAAAAGAAUGUGCGACAAAUGGGAGUUCUACCAUAUAUACCAAGGUUUGCAACACUUCUUCCUUGAAACCGUCGAUGCGUGUUUUCUUGUACGGUUGAUUUUUUUUCAACACCAGUUCUCUUCUGCUAUUAUAAUCUGUAAUAUAAACAGAUCAUAGUUUGAUAUUUGAAACCAAGUAUUUUAUUCAAUAUCAUCACAAAUUUGGGGCUGUUUGGUUGGAUGUAAUUUUAAAUAUCGUACAACUAAAGAUGCAUAUAGUUAAAAAUGCAGCAGUUACAACUAUAUGUAUUUUGUUUGGUUGGAUGUAAUAGAAAAUACUGCAACAUAAAUAGUUUGUUAGAUGCAUGCAGUUAGAAACUAUAUUUAUAAAUUUUGUCACUUUGUAUAUGGGUUGGGUAAGAUUACCAUCAAGGCAUCAAUACAGAAGAAAAAAAAUAUUUUUUUUGUUAUAUAACUUGUAAAUCAAUGCAGUUAAAAUAACAGAGACAAUAGAAUAGAGGCAUAAGAUAUUAAACAAAGUAGGAAUUUAGGUUGUAGAACAUUAAAUGGUAAAAUCAAACAUGGAGAAAAGAGGGAGUUCUAUUGCAUAAUUGAUUAUCAGAUCAGAUGUAAUGCAAUUUUGAUUUUAACAGCUAUUUUUGGUAUUUUGUUUUGUUCUCUAGAAAGUAAGAUAUGUUAAGUUUACAUAAGCUCUUCCCACUUUGAGAUAUUUUUCCUUAAUAUUCCGUCUAGUUUAUAAAAAUGUACUAAGGCCGUAUUGUUCCCUUGGUUAGCUUUAAUUUACAAUGCUCUAGCAUAAAUCUGCAAUCUAUUAUUCUUCGUAGAUUUGCUACGCUGGCAACACGUAUGGAACAGUAUAUACAAGGGCAAUCUAGGGAUUUGGUCGAUCAAGCAUAUACAAAAAUUGUGAGUUCCACUCUACCCAGUUGGACACACCACUUGAUACCAGUAAUACCUGGCCCUUUCCUUCUUUUUUUUUUGAAAAUAAACUUGCGACAAUUGUACGCUUUUUUUUUUUUUUUUUUUGUACUUUAACAUUAUUUCAGAAUACCAGGUCUGCAAGUUUAAAUAAUGGGCAUCUAACCUAGCAUCUCCUCCUUAUUGGUGGCUUAAGUUAUAUAUCUGAUGUUUUAUUGAACGUUCUCUCAAAUUUACUAAAUGAUAAUUUGUAAAAUUUGAAAUAGGUCAGCAUAAUGUUCGUUACCUUGGAGAGGGUUGCACAAGUGGAGCCAAAGUAUGCCGAUAUCGUGCUAUUGGAGAAUUAUGCAGCUUUUCAGCACAGGUUGUGAAAAACUGACCUUCACUGACAGAUUAUUCAUUAUUCAUGUAAUCUGAAGAAACAAGUCUGCUCUCCUGAUACAUAUGUUCUUUUUUCUUCAGUCUCUAUGAUUUAGCUAAUGUUGUGCCAACACUUGCUAAGUUCUACCAUCAAGCAAGUGAAUCCUAUGAACAAGCUUGCUUGCGCCAUAUUAAUAUGGUCAUCUACAUUGUAAGGACUUCUUUAUCUCUAUCCAUAUAUUUCUUCCCCUAAUCUGGUAGCUAUUCUUUCAUGAGAUGCACAUACUUCUUCCCCUAAUCAGGGAAUUAUUCUUUCAUGAGAUGCACUAUUUAUAUUGAGGAAAGGUGCUCUUUACUAAGUAACGAACAAGACAAAACAAAAACACUUCUAUAAACCAUAUAUAGGCUAGGAUCUUGUCCGGAGUACUGACGCUCCUACAGCAUAUCCCUCCCCAGCAAAUCAUUUUUUUCUGUCAUCUCAAACUUCUUUUUUUUGUCAACUUAAGGCAUAAGAAGAUAUAUAUAUGUGUGUGUGUGUGUGUGUGUGUGUGUGUGUGUGUCUCAUCUCCAGAUUUAUAAUUGAAUUUUGCUUUUGCAGCCAACUCAUAUUGUCUUACAUGUAUCCAGAAAGAAAAGAGUUUUUUCCUUAUAUGCAUCCAUAUCUUCUAGUUCCCAAGGAAUGGUUUGUUCCUAGUGAUCAUUUCAUAUGAAGCAAUGCGUUAGUCAAUGAUUUGGAUCAAUCGCAACGAAUCUCCAGCAUCUAGAAAGCUUAUGAGUAUCAGUUCUUGUGUCAGAAUUUUGGAGAUGCUUUUGUGUUAGUAUUUUUUAUUUAUGUAGUGGUUUGACUCAAACCUGCUAUCUUGAUAUGGCAAGCCCGCUGAGGACAUCAUACAUAAAUAUGUUUUUAUGUGCUAAUGUGUGGUGGUUGAAUGGGUAUAUCAGCAUAUGCAUGUGUGGAUGUGUAUAUGUGCACUCGCAUGCUCAUGCAUGUGUGCAUGUGUGCCAAGAUGUUUUCUUAUAACCAUGUUACUUAUUGCAGCACUUUGAGAAAUUAUUCCAGUUCGCAAGAAGAAUUGAGGAAUUGAUGUUCACAAUUGCUCCUGAGGAGGUAAGACAAUCUUGAAUAGGGCCUACAACUUGCUAAUGCAUCUUUUCUUGUAGUUUACAAUAUGGUGUUCAAUUUUAACAGCUCUUGCUUCAUUAUCUAAUGAUGUUACUUCCCCUAUGACCUGCUCCGUCCACUAGUCAUCUGUCUGUGCUAUCAUGCUUGACUAAAUGUUGGAGACAAAAGCUCAAACUGCAUCUAGUUGUACUUAAUUUUAUACCUAAUCUUUUCUAAUAUUAAAAUUUGCAGAUCCCAUUCCAAAUUGGAAUGUCAAAGAUGGAACUUCGAAAGACACUAAAAUCCAGCUUAUCAGGAGUAAGUUGCAAUAUUUAUUUUAGUCUCAUCUUUCUGUCUUAAGUGCACUUCUAAUUAUUUGGCUGUCAUUUUGAGAUGGUGAGAAUAUUAUCUUCAUUUUUUAUGUCUUUGCUGCACUUAUGGCCAUUUAUUAUUAUUAUUUUUUUUACAGCUUGACAAGACCGUAAGUGCAAUGUAUAGGAAACUACAGAAGAAUUUAACUGCAGAAGAGUUGUUGCCUUCAUUGUGGGAAAAAUGCAAGGUCUGUUUUAUCAUUUGCUCUGAUCAAAACAUGCCAAGAGAAUUAGAGAAUAUCUUAUUCGACUACAUGAACCAAAUAUAUAUAUAUACAUACUACUAAAGAGACGGCUGGUGGACUCAUUCGCUGGCCCUCUUCGAUAUCUAUCUGUCUUUCGAUUCAUCUAUGUUUAUGCCUUUUUUUACAGAUACGUCAAAUAUUCUUAAAGAAUUAGUUGAAAAAAGCAUAAAAAAAAAUCUGAUUUGAAUCAUUUCAUCCAUUGAUUUAAAACUAGGAAGCUAAAAAUCCAAUUCCUUUUGUCAAACACCUGGGGAGAAAACAUCUUCCAUAAAGUAAACUCAUUGUAAACACCCCUGGGAUACAAGAAAAGAGAGUAGAGGGAGGAAUGGCUUAACUGCCCCUUAAGCCAUUCUGACUACUACCUCUCUUAAUCCAUAGGGUAUAGAAUUCAAUAUAUAAUAAUAAAUUGAAUUCGAGACACACACACACACACACACAUAUAUUAAGAAAGAGAGAGUGGGAGUUCUUUUCUCUGUUUGAUUUUUUUUUUUUAAAAAAAGAGGGGCAAAACGGGUGCUUUUUUAAUUUAUUACUCCUUUCAACUCAAUUUAUUGUAUUAUAGGUAAUGUUUCCACAGAGACGCAGUUAUCAUUUUCUAUGGUGUGUUGGCAGCACUAGAAUAAUGUGUUGAUUUAAUAGUUUCAGCACAUUGAAUUAUUUUCUCAAUUUCGUUUUGUUUAUAUGAACCUGUUUUGUUCUUGCUGCCUUGUUGUGUGUCUGCACUUUGCCGCACUAUUUCUGCUCUUACCAUGUUUUAAAUAAAUAUCAUUGGUAAUUUCCCCAAAAAACAAAAUCAACUGAUUCAGAUAUUGAUAAGAUUGCUGCAAAUUACGAAUAAAUUUGGUGGUAAAAUAUUUGAAUUUGUUCCAAUUUGGGUCCCGCAGAAAGAGUUUUUGGACAAAUAUGGAAGUUUUCUUAAACUGGUAGCAAAAAUAUAUCCAAAUGAGACCGUCUCCUCGGUGGCCGAGAUGAGAGAACUCCUUAGUACAAUGUAGGAGAUUGCUCCAGGUUUUUCAUCAUCCUCAAGGUUGGAUAAGCUUAAUUUGUUUUUCAUUGAUUGGUGUAAGUUCCUUUCUGCUUUGCUUUCUAGUUGAUAUACUUGGUUUUGAACAGCCUUACAUCCAAUCGUCUCGUCUGAACUGAUGCAGGUAUAUUACUUUGGAAGAAGCUAAUGCAGUACCUGCAGGUAGCACUUGGAAUUCUUUAAUUCUUUUAAUUCUUUCUUUCUUUCUUUUCAGUUCUUGUUUUUUCCCUAAAUGAGGUUCUCAUUGAGGUGCAUGCAAUCCAGUCAAUUUGGUUGGCAGGAACUGUCUAUCCUUUGUAUUAUCUCAUUAGAUUUUUGAAGCAGAUGACUGAGACGAACAGAUUCUUUAGUUCAUAAAGUUAAAAAAAAUAUAUUCAGUGGCGACGGAUAUGAAACUACAAUUAGCUUUCGGCCUGUUUUGCCUUCAGUUUUUCUAGCGGUCUUGCUCAACAAUUUUAAAUAUCGGUUGCAAUCAAUAAAAAAUUAAUAUAACAAUUAAAAUAUUAGUAGAUAAUAUUAAAGUAAUAAAAAAAUAUUAACAUAAAAUGAAAAGAUACUAAAUAUUUUAAGAUUUAUCUCUUAGAGAAAAGAGAAUUAAAAGUUUAUUUUGUUAUGUUACUUAUUUUACGUAAGAAAAAAUAGGAAUCAAAAAAAAAUUCCCAAAAAGUUGAUUUAUCGAGGUACCAAAAUUCAAAAUAAAAAGCAUUUAAAAAUUAAGAACUUUGAAUAAAAAUAUCUUGAGAGUGACUCAAAAAAUUCGAGAGACUUUGAAUAAAAAUAUCUUGAGAGUGACUCAAAAAAUUCGAGAGAGAGUAUACUCUUAUUAGUACGAGUGAAGACCCGCGCUUCGCAGCGGAAAAUAUAAGAAAAAAAAUCAAAAUAAAUAAUUAAAUAUUUAAAUUUUAAAAUAUUUUAUUAUUCAAAAUUUAAAUUUAAAUUUAGAAUAUAAAAUGUUGAAGUUUAAAAUUUAAAUUUUAAUAUAUCAAAUUGAAAUUUCAAUAUUUAGAAUUUAAUAUUUGGAUUUUUAAAAUUCAAUGUAUAAUUAUAUAUAU
rnacentral:lncRNA from 1 species